AACGAACGCUGGCGGCAGGCUUAACACAUGCAAGUCGAACGGGCGUAGCAAUACGUCAGUGGCAGACGGGUGAGUAACACGUGGGAACCUUCCUCGUAGUACGGGACAACUCAGGGAAACUUGAGCUAAUACCGUAUACGUCCGAGAGGAGAAAGAUUUAUCGCUAUGAGACGGGCCCGCGUCCGAUUAGGUAGUUGGUGGGGUAACGGCCUACCAAGCCGACGAUCGGUAGCUGAUCUGAGAGGAUGAUCAGCCACACUGGGACUGAGACACGGCCCAGACUCCUACGGGAGGCAGCAGUGGGGAAUCUUGGACAAUGGGCGCAAGCCUGAUCCAGCCAUGCCGCGUGAGUGAAGAAGGCCUUAGGGUUGUAAAGCUCUUUUGCCAGGGACGAUAAUGACGGUACCUGGAGAAUAAGCCCCGGCAAACUUCGUGCCAGCCGCCGCCGUAAGAC
rnacentral:rRNA from 1 species